AAAUUGUUUUGAAUGCAAGAUUUAGAAUUCACAAAACAGCAUGACUUCCGGUGGUGGGCGAUAUCCGGAAUCAAUUAGUGAAGGGCCUCAUCAAGACCUAGAAUGCUCAACAUUAAAGGACAACAGAGGAACUGUGUGCAAGACAGAUCAUUUAAACAAUAAACUGCUCUCAUCCAUUUUCAACCACAAGGAGACGCAAGAAGAAGGCGGAAUACUGUUAAAGUAUAUACGGUGCAUGUAUACAUUUCUUUAUACUAGCUGAUUGUUCGGAUAUCAGAAGGAUUUGAGCAAACAACAUGUGAAUUCAUGAAAAAUAAAAUGUACACUAGCAGCAAAACAGAAUUUUUUUUUCCGAAACAAGGUUCCCACUGUUCAUAUAAUAUUAAAAUGUAUUUAGCUCCCUUUUGCAGCAUAUGAAUAUAAUUUUCUUUAAUACUGUAUUUAUGUCUUGCAAAAAAUGAUUCUGAUCUAUUAAAAACGUAUUUACUUCA